rnacentral:tRNA from 1 species
GAUAAUAUGGCUGAAAUUAGGUGAUAGAUUGUAAAUCUAUUUAUGAGAUAAAAUCUCUAUUAUCA